rnacentral:rRNA from 1 species
ACGAUUUUGGAUUUGGAUCACCAUCUAGUGGCAGACGGGUGAGUAACACGUGGGUGACCUACCUUCAAGUUGGGGAUAACAGUUGGAAACGAUUGCUAAUACCGAAUAAGACAUAUUUGUCAUGGAUAUGUUGAAAGGAGCCUUUAAAGCUUCACUUAAAGAUGGGCCUGCGGCGUAUUAAUUAGUUGGUGGGGUAACGGCCUACCAAGAUAGCGAUGCGUAGCCGAACUGAGAGGUUGAGCGGCCACACUGGAACUGAGAUACGGUCCAGACUCC